rnacentral:rRNA from 1 species
CCUACGGGCGGCUGCAGUGGGGAAUAUUGGACAAUGGGCGCAAGCCUGAUCCAGCCAUACCGCGUGGGUGAAGAAGGCCUUCGGGUUGUAAAGCCCUUUUGUUGGGAAAGAAAUCAAUCUGCUUAAUACCCGGUGGGUAUGACGGUACCCAAAGAAUAAGCACCGGCUAACUUCGUGCCAGCAGCCGCGGUAAACCGAGGGGUGCAAGCGUUAUCCGGAAUUACUGGGCGUAAAGCGUGCGUAGGUAGUCGUUUAAGUCCGGUGUGAAAGCCCUGGGCUCAACCUGGGAACUGCAGUGGAUACUGGGAGGCUAGAGUGUGGUAGAGGGUAGCGGAAUUCCUGGUGUAGCAGUGAAAUGCGUAGAGAUCAGGAGGAACACCAAUGGCGAAGGCAGCUACCUGGACCAACACUGACACUGAGGCGCGAAAGCGUGGGGAGCAAACAGGAUUAGAUACCCCGGUAGUC